GCCUCUGUGGACUCUGGAAGUCGCCUCAAUCAAAUUCUUCAUCGACUGUGUCGCGAUGGUUGAGGAGACGGGGGUUCGAUUCCCUCCGGAGGCU